AGAGAGAGAGAGAGAGAGAAGAAGUUGAGUGGCGAAAGAGGGGUGUGAAAGGAUUUAAUGGUGCGGCAUGGUUUUAGGCAUUUGUUUCUCUCACUAUAGAAAUAACGAACUCCUCUGGAUUUGGACAUUGCUUGCGCGCCAUCAUUCCUAUCCAAAUCAACUUGUCCUCGAGUUUACACAUCCCAUAAACGACAACGACAAUGCAUAGCAUCAAAAGUUAAAAAUAAAAAAAAAUCCCCCAUGCAACUGCCUUUUCCAAAAUUUAUUCUUAACCUCCGAAACAUACAAUUUUUUACUUUGUACGCAUAUAUACGUGUACGUGUGUGUCUUCUGCAGUUCUUGUUUGUUGGCGAAAAUGACCCAUGCCUAAACUUUUGCAUUAGAUGUAAUGUCAGAGUCUAUAAAUGCAUAAGACCCUAUGAAUGGAUACUCUAGAUAUACGUGAUGACUCUAACCUCUGAGGUACAUGCUCGAGUGGAUUUAGAGGACUAAUUGAACUCUUGGUCCCUUAUUCAGAUGUUGCUGGACUUGUUUGGCUGCCCAUUGAAGUCUGGGGAAUAUCAUCCCUUAUUUGAUAUUUUCUCUUUCAAAGCCGCGGGUCAAGGGAUUCGUUUGGGAGCUGGAACUUGAUCUCGAUCGAGCAAGAAGGGAUACAACUGAGUUCACUGAGCUUGGUUUGGAACUCGAGAAAAGUAACGGAGCGACCGAUGAGGAAGAGCCGGCUCUGGCCCCAAAAGUAAGUGAGCUGACCACCGAAUUGACUAGUAAGCUCGCUUCCGAAGUUGCAUAGGAGCCUUGCUUUGCGGAAUGACAUGGCGAUUGGCAAAUGAGCUCGAUACAGAAUCGUAGAUAUGGAAAAGGUCCGUUCGGGGCACAUUGAAG
rnacentral:misc_RNA from 1 species